rnacentral:rRNA from 1 species
GAUGAACGCUGGCGGCGUGCCUAAUACAUGCAAGUCGAGCGAACAGAUGAGAAGCUUGCUUCUCUGAUGUUAGCGGCGGACGGGUGAGUAACACGUGGGUAACUUACCUAUAAGACUGGGAUAACUCCGGGAAACCGGGGCUAACACCGGAUAAUAUUUUGAACCGCAUGGUUCAAUAGUGAAAGACGGUUUCGGCUGUCACUUAUAGAUGGACCCGCGCCGUAUUAGCCAGUUGGUAAGGUAACGGCUUACCAAGGCGACGAUACGUAGCCGACCUGGGAGGGUGAUCGGCCACACUGGAACGGAGACACGGUCCAGACUCCUACGGGAGGCAGCAGUAGGGAAUCUUCCGCAAUGGGCGAAAGCCUGACGGAGCAACGCCGCGUGAGUGAUGAAGGUCUUCGGAUCGUAAAACUCUGUUGUUAGGGAAGAACAAAUUUGUUAGUAACUGAACAAGUCUUGACGGUACCUAACCAGAAAGCCACGGCUAACUACGUGCCAGCCGCCGCCGCGG